rnacentral:tRNA from 1 species
GCCUCAGUAGCUCAGUGGUAGAGCGCCAGUUUUGUAAACUGGAAGUCGAGGGUUCAAUCCCCUCCUGAGGCU